CAGUUUGAAAGAAGCUUCACAUUUAACCAUAAUGUCUAGGAAGUGGAUUUCAGUUCUGCUACUGCUACAGCUGAGCUGUUACUUCAGCUCUGGGAGAUGUGGAAAGGUGCUGGUGUGGCCGAUGGAUUACAGUCAUUGGAUCAAUAUAAAGACCAUCCUGGAUGAGCUCAUCCAGAGGGGACAUGAGGUGACUGUUCUCAAACCUUCAGCUUAUGUUCUACUUGAUCCCAACAAAUCUCCUGGUAUUAAAUUUGAGACUUUUCCUACAUCAAUAUCCAAAGAUGAUUAUGAGAAGUAUAUUACAGAAUCAAUCAUGAGCUAUGUUUUUGAAAUGGGAAAUUAUUCAUUUUGGAAAUAUUAUUCAGUGCUUCAAGAACUGUCAUGGUUGGAUUCUGAUUUUUUUGAAAAUAUCUGUAGAGAUGCAGUUUUGAACAAGACACUUGUGACAAAACUGAAAGAAUCGAGGUUUGAUGUCAUUCUUGCCGAUGCCCUGUGUCCCUGUGGUGAGCUGCUGGCUGAGCUACUUGAAGUUCCCUUUCUGUACACACACCGCUUCUUUCCUGGCUACACUUAUGAAAAGUAUAGUGGAGGACAUCUGUUUCCCCCUUCCUAUGUACCUAUUGUUAUGUCAGAAUUAACUGAUAAAAUGACUUUCAUGCAGAGGGUAAAAAAUGUACUGUAUGUGCUUUAUUUUGACUUUUGGUUCCAAAGUUUUAAUGAGAAGAAAUGGGAUAGAUUUUACAGUGAAGUUCUAGGAAGACCCACUACAUUAACUGAGCUAAUGGGGAAAGCUGACAUGUGGCUCAUUCGCACCUACUGGGAUGUGGAGUUUCCUCGCCCACUCUUACCAAAUGUUGAUUUCAUUGGAGGGCUCCACUGCAGACCUGCCAAACCCCUGCCUAAGGAAAUAGAAGCCUUUGUGCAGAGCUCUGGGGAAGAGGGAGUUGUGCUGUUUUCCCUGGGGUCCAUGGUCAGUGACCUGACAGAAGAAAGGACCAAUGUGAUUGCAUCAGCACUUGCCCAGCUUCCACAAAAGGUUCUAUGGAGAUUUGAUGGCAAGAAACCAGAUACCUUAGGACCCAAUACUCAGCUGUAUAAGUGGAUUCCCCAGAAUGACCUUCUUGGUCAUCCCAAAACCAAAGCUUUCAUAACUCAUGGUGGAACCAACGGCAUCUAUGAGGCCAUCUACCAUGGUAUCCCUAUGGUGGGCCUCCCUUUGUUUGCUGAGCAAGCUGAUAACAUCGUCCGCAUGGUGGCCAAGGGAGCAGCUGUCAGAUUGGACUUGAUCACAAUGUCAAGUGCAGAUUUGCUCGAUGCAUUGAAGACAGUCAUUAAUGACCCUUCAUAUAAAGAGAAUGCUAUGAGGUUAUCAAGUAUUCACCACGAUCAGCCCACGAAGCCCCUGGAUCGAGCAGUCUUCUGGGUAGAGUAUGUCAUGCGCCACAAGGGAGCCAAACACCUUAGGGCUGCAGCUCAAGACCUCACCUGGUUCCAGUACCACUCUCUGGAUGUGAUUUGCUUCCUGCUGGCCUGUGUGGCCAUUGCUAUGUUCAUCAUCAUAAAAGGUUGCCUGUUUUGUUACCAGAAGUUUGCCACAGCUGGAGAGAAGAAUAAAAGAGAUUAGAUGUAUCUUGGCUGGAAGUUGAAAGGCUUACUAGACAGGAGGUCUCCAGGUUCAUCUAGCAAGAAGAGGUCGUGAUGCAAGGAUUCCUUUUUCCUGUGACGAAUCAGCUUUUCACAAUUUAGCUGCAGAACUACUGAAAAUUUAUUUUCCAGAAAUCUACAAGCAUUGAAGAGUAAGCAACAUUUCCGGUCAAAGAGAAAACAAAAAGAACCGAGAAAAUUAAACUCAAAUUGCAAAAGUAGAUAAUUGAAAUUUAAUGUUGAAAUUCAUGUUAUAUUAAAAAUAUUAGUGAGUUUACCUAUGGUUCACAAGUUCUACAGGCACAAAAGAGCAUUAAGAAAUCCACUUACUGUCAAUCAGAUUUAUGGAGAGCAAGCCAGAGAGAGAGAGAGUGACUGAGAGAGAACUAAGGUUCUUUCAGCCACUGUUGCACUCCUCAACUGCUCGCAAGAGCCAUGGUUGGCUUGGUCCUGGGAGUCUGAUACUGGACGUGGACUGAGGCUGCUCUGCCACAACACUCGCCCCAACAUACAAAAGAUGAUAAAAGUCACUGAUGUGAAGGAAAUGGAAAUUAAGUCAACACAUAAGGUUCUCAUAAGAACCUGAGGCAACUACUUCUGAGGGAGUAUAAUUUGGAACAACAUAUUCAACUAAAAUUGAAGCAUGCUAUUUUACCCUUGAAUUCUACCUGUAAGAAUCAAUGGCUCAGAAAUCUUUCCAUAUGCACAUAUUUAUGGAAGUUAUGUUCCCUUUAGAGCAUGCCUAUCAAUUGGCACUCUUCCAGUGAAAUUUAUUGGUAUUCAGGCAAUACAGAGAAUGGGUAUAUUAUAAGCAACCAUUGAAUGAUCUCCUCUAAAAGUCAAAUAAAAAUCCAGAAACUAAAAAAUAUUAUUUGGAAUAAAUUAAAUAUAUACACAUACAUAUACAUAUACAUAUAUAUACAUAUAUAUUAUAUGCUUGUACACAAACAAAAUACACUGUUUAUACUUAAUUCCAAAGAAAAUAAUUUUAAUGUAUAAUCUUCCUACUUCUGCAUUGCUGACCUUUGACAUAUUAUUUUCAUGAGUUAAUUAUGUGAUUCAAAAACGUAAUUAAUCCAAUGAGCAUUUGGGAUGGUGGUUAAGCCACAGUGUGAGGCACCCUUAUCCCUUUUCCCAUAUAAGGGUGCCUGGGUUUGAGUCCUGCCUGUGGUCCUGAUCCCAAAAGCUUGCUAAUGCACAAAGGGGCGGCAGAUCUUUCCUCAUUUAGUGGAGUCCCAACCACGUUUGUGGGAGAAUCCAAAGGAGUUCCUGGUUCCUGGCGUCAGCCUGAUCUAGCCAUGGCUACUAUUGUCAUUUAGGGAUUGAACGAGUGAGUCAGAGAUUUCUCAGUGUCUGUGUUUUUCUCUGCCUCUUUGUCUCUUUUUCUCACUUUGUUUCUUUGCCUCUGAAAUCAAUAAAACAAAUAAAAAUUUUUACAAAGGAAAACUACUUUGUGAAAUAAACAUAUUGACACACAAUAUCAAACUGUAAGAUAAAAAUUCACAUUCUAUCCUCAAUUUGUUAGUGUGAUGCAGAAUAUUUGAAUGAGCAUGGCAUCACGUGUGCUGUUUAUUUUAUUUAUUUGGGGCCAAAUUUUAAUUAAUAUAUUAAAAUGUAUGACUUUUAUUCAUAGAUAUAAAAUAUAAAUGUUAUACUUUUUAGGGUUUUGCUGUGAUUUUAAAUCAAUGAAUUUUAUAAUAGAUUAGUAAUCUCAGAUACCUGACUUCACAUAGGUAUAUUUAUAUCAACUUUGCAACCUAAAUCCAAAUAUAUGGCAAUCUUUGAAUCAAGUUAUUUUGCCUACCCCUUGAACUCUAACAAAACUUGUGCUGUCUUAAAACAAUUGCAGAGGAAGUGCUAGAGCUUAAAUUCCAAUGUUUAGUGGGAAAAUGAAACACAUUCUCUGGCUACAGUAAAAAUUUUUAGUACACCAUAAGCAGAUCAUAAAAAAAUUUCAAUAAGCUUAAAGGACUGAUAUCACUUAAAGUAUGUUCUAUGACUACAAUGGAAUGGCACUUACACAAAAUAAUGAAAAGAAAUUUGGAAAAUUCAAAAUUAAAUAGGAAUUAAACAUACUCUAAAAUAAUAAAUGGAUAAAUGUAAAAUCAAAAGGAAAAUGACAAAGUAAUUUUAAAAAUUGGAAAGAUUCAUAAACUUAAGGGAAAACAGGAUUUAGAAGGAAAUGUACACCUUUUUAAUGCUUACGUUAAAAAGGAAGACAGAUUUCAAAACAAUAACAUAGUUUUGUAUCUUGGGGAGUUAGAAGAGAAAAAAAACUAAACUCAAAGUUAUUGUAAAAGGAAAUGACAAAGAUCAUAGGCAAGAUUUAAAAACAAAUUGAAAUGAAAGCAACAACACUAAAGUUGGGACCUUUCAAAAUAUAAACUAAACUAAUAAAACUUUAUCAAGACUAACUGAACAGGGGAAAAAGAGAAAUCUCACAUUAACAAAAUCAGACAUUAGCAUGUACAUAUUUCUACCAAACACAUAGAAACAAAAAGAACCAUGGAAUACUUUGAGCAAUUACUAGCCAACAAAAUUAGCUGAAGAGAUGAAAUGAAUAUAUUCAAACUAUACUCAGGACAAGCCAAACAAUGGAAAAGAGGCAAAAUAAUGGAAACUAAUAAAGAGGUUGAAUUUAUAAUCAAAAACCUACCCAUCAGAGCCAGCGCUGUGGCAUAGUGGGUAAAACCGCCAUCUGCAGUGUUGGCAUCCCAUAUGGGCGCCGGUUCAAGGCUUGGGCUGCUCCACUUCCCAUCUAGCUCUCUGCAUAGCCUGGGAAAGCUGUACAAGAUGGCCCAAGUCCUUGGGCCCCUGCACCACUGUGAGACCCAGAAGAAGCUCCUGGCUCCUAGCUUCAGAUCAUUGCAGUUCCAGCUGUUACAGCCAUUUGGGGAGUGAACUAGUGGUUGGAAGACCUCUCUCUCUCUCUCUCUCUUUCUCUCUCUCUCUCUCUCUCUGCCUCUCCUUCUCUCUUGGUGUAACUGACUUUAAAUAAAUAAACAAAUAAAUGAAUAAAUCACUUAAAAAAAAAAACUACCCAAAGGACAGCAUUGUGGCACAGCAGGAUUAAGCCACUGAUUAUGACACUGACAUCUCAUUCACAGUGACUGUUUGAGUCUUAGCUACUUCACUUCACUUCCAGUUUACUGUUAAUUGCCUACAAAAGCAGCAGAACAGGGUCUGUGAAUGUGUGUCCCAUGUGGAGCUGUUAGACGGAGCUGUUGUUUCCAGGCUUAGACUUGACCCAGACCUGGGUGAAGGGACAGAUGAAAUCAAUCUCUCUCUCUGUUUCUCUCUCUCUCCCCCACCCAUAUGUCUGUCUCUCUCUCUCUCCCCCUGUCUCUAUGUUAUUCUGCUUUUCAAAUAAAUAAAUGUCUUUAAAAAAUGCCUACCCGCAUAGAAAAUCUCAGACCAAGAAGGAUUUAUGAGUUCUCCUAAGUGUUUAAAGAAGAAUUAAUUUUAAUUUUCAAGAAAAUCUUUCAAAUGCCAGAAGAAUCUAAAAUCCUGACCCUCAUAUUUAUAAGGUGCUUUAUGUGUUUUGUUUUUAAAAUUUGCAUGUAUUAAUUAAUAUUUUAAGAAGUACAAGUUUCAUAAGUACAACUUUAGGAGUAUAGUGGUUGUUCCACCAUACUGGCCUCCCACCCACACUUUCACCCUUCCCCUUGCUCCCUCUCCCCCCUUCCCAGCCCCAUUCUCCAUUAAAAUUCAUUUUUGAUUAACUUUGUACACAGAAGACCAACUCUAUGCUAAGUAAAGAUUUCAAUAAUUUGAGUGCACUCAUACACACACACACACAGCUGAGAACUAGUUUUACAGUUAACUCUUAUAAUACAGCUCAUUGAGGACAAAGGUCCUGCAUGGUAAGUUAGUGCACAGUAACUCCUGUUGUUAAUUUAACAAUUAAAGCUCUUAUGUUUGACAUCAGUGACCACCCAAGGCUUUUUUUUUUUUU